rnacentral:lncRNA from 1 species
GAUCUUCUGUCCAAAUGCAGUUAUUCAGAGGUGCACUUGUGUAAUAAACUUAGCAUAUCAUAGGCUAGGAUCCAUUUAGACCGAAUGUUAUGACAACAAAUCUAUAUGCGAAAUAUAUUUAGUUCGAUUUGUUUCUGCCAAUAAGUAUAUGAUUUUCAUGAAAAUAAGUGGUGAACCUAUUAUUGGAUCUUGAAGCAUAAACAUUUUCAUUUUUCCCAUUUAUUAUCUCACAAAAAUGUCAUAUACUAUGAACCAACCUCCACCUGAACAUGAUGGAUACAAACGUUCUCUAUCAGCAAUCUCCAACGCAGAUUCUACUUCCUACUCAAGUAUGACUACAACACAUCAACUCUUUCUACUAAAUAUUUUCUUUUGCUUCCUCCUGCAGAGUUCAUCUACUGGUACCAAGGUAACACAAAAAUGUCAGAAGAAGUCUGAACAUGAAUGUUAUCUACGAGAAAUGAAAAUAGUACACAACCAUGUACUAUAUAACUUCCUUUGUUGUCAAACUCCUUCUAUAAUUCCUGAAAUGAACUCCUAUAUUUCAGACAGUGUGAUCUGAAACUUAGAAAUCUGUACUCCCCAGCUACCUCUUAACUUAUUGCUUUAUGUCGUUUAUAUAAAUUAGAUAUAAAAUGAAAAAAAUAGCACAACUCAUAUUCCUCCACUUCUUUUUUAUUUCUACCUGAACUCUUUUUCAUGAUUCAUGAACAACAUAACUAUGGAUCACGCAACGUAGCGCGCCUAUCCGCCUAGUUGUCUUUGUUCGGUCCAUCCUUGAAUCAACG